rnacentral:tRNA from 1 species
GCCGGAUUGGCGGAAUGGCAGACGCGGAGCACUCAAAAUGCUUUGUUCGUAAGGACGUGCGGGUUCAAGUCCCGCAUCCGGCAC